rnacentral:misc_RNA from 1 species
UCCGAGUUGACCCCGGCAGUCUCCUACGAGUCCCCGGCAUGAUCCGCUGGCAACAUAGGACAAGGGUUGCGCUCGUUGCGGGACUUAACCCAACAUCUCACGACACGAGCUGACGACAGCCAUGCACCACCUGUGACCGUGCCCCGAAGGGAGACUGUGUUUCCAACGCCGUUGACCAGCCGUUCGAGCCCAGGUAAGGUUCUUCGCGUUGCGUCGAAUUGAACCACAUGCUCCACCGCUUGUGCGGGCCCCCGUCAAUUCCUUUGAGUUUCAGCCUUGCGGCCGUACUCCCCAGGCGGGGCACUUAAUGCGUUAGCUACGGCACGGAACCCGUCGAUAGAGUCCCACACCUAGUGCCCAACGUUUACGGCGUGGACUAC